GGCGUAAAGGGCUCGCAGGCGGUUUCUUAAGUCUGAUGUGAAAGCCCCCGGCUCAACCGGGGAGGGUCAUUGGAAACUGGGGAACUUGAGUGCAGAAGAGGAGAGUGGAAUUCCACGUGUAGCGGUGAAAUGCGUAGAGAUGUGGAGGAACACCAGUGGCGAAGGCGACUCUCUGGUCUGUAACUGACGCUGAGGAGCGAAAGCGUGGGGAGCGAACAGGAUUAGAUACCCUGGUAGUCCACGCCGUAAACGAUGAGUGCUAAGUGUUAGGGGGUUUCCGCCCCUUAGUGCUGCAGCUAACGCAUUAAGCACUCCGCCUGGGGAGUACGGUCGCAAGACUGAAACUCAAAGGAAUUGACGGGGGCCCGCACAAGCGGUGGAGCAUGUGGUUUAAUUCGAAGCAACGCGAAGAACCUUACCAGGUCUUGACAUCCUCUGACAAUCCUAGAGAUAGGACGUCCCCUUCGGGGGCAGAGUGACAGGUGGUGCAUGGUUGUCGUCAGCUCGUGUCGUGAGAUGUUGGGUUAAGUCCCGCAACGAGCGCAACCCUUGAUCUUAGUUGCCAGCAUUCAGUUGGGCACUCUAAGGUGACUGCCGGUGACAAACCGGAGGAAGGUGGGGAUGACGUCAAAUCAUCAUGCCCCUUAUGACCUGGGCUACACACGUGCUACAAUGGACAGAACAAAGGGCAGCGAAACCGCGAGGUUAAGCCAAUCCCACAAAUCUGUUCUCAGUUCGGAUCGCAGUCUGCAACUCGACUGCGUGAAGCUGGAAUCGCUAGUAAUCGCGG
rnacentral:rRNA from 1 species